rnacentral:rRNA from 1 species
CUACGGGAGGCAGCAGCAAGGAAUUUUGCGCAAUGGGCGAAAGCCUGACGCAGCGACGCCGCGUGGGGGAUGACGGCCUUCGGGUUGUAAACCCCUUUUCCCGAGGAAGAAAUAUGACGGUACUCGGGGAAUAAGUCUUGGCUAACUACGUGCCAGCAGCCGCGGUAAUACGUAGAAGGCGAACGUUAUCCGGAUUUACUGGGCGUAAAGAGGGUGUAGACGGUUCUUUAAGUCAGUUGUGAAAUCUCUCGACUCAAUUGGGAGACUGCAAUUGAUACUGGGGAGCUUGAGGGCAUCAGAAGAAAGCGGAAUUCACGGUGUAGCGGUGAAAUGCGUAGAUAUCGUGAGGAACACCAGUGGCGAAGGCGGCUUUCUAGGAUGCUCCUGACGUUGAGGCCCGAAAGUGUGGGGAGCGAAACGGAUUAGAUACCCGUGUAGUCCACACCCUAAACGUUGAAUACUAGGUAUAGGGGGUAUCGACCCUCUCUGUGCCGAAGCUAACGCUUUAAGU